UAAGGGGGCUAGCGUUGUUCGGAAUUACUGGGCGUAAAGCGCACGUAGGCGGAUAUUUAAGUCAGGGGUGAAAUCCCAGAGCUCAACUCUGGAACUGCCUUUGAUACUGGGUAUCUUGAGUAUGGAAGAGGUAAGUGGAAUUGCGAGUGUAGAGGUGAAAUUCGUAAAUAUUAGGAGGAACACCAGUGGCGAAGGCGUCUAUCUGGUUCAAAUCUGACGCUGAGGCGCGAAGGCGUGGGGAGCAAACAGGAUUAGAUACCCUGGUAGUCCACGCUGUAAACGAUGAAUGUUAAAUAUGGGGAGUUUACUUUCUGUAUUACAGCUAACGCGUUAAACAUUCCGCCUGGGGACUACGGUCGCAAGAUUAAAACUCAAAGGAAUUGACGGGGACCCGCACAAGCGGUGGAGCAUGUGGUUUAAUUCGAUGCAACGCGAAAAACCUUACCACUCCUUGACAUGGAAAUUAUACCUAUUCGAAGGGAUAGGGUCGGUUCGGCCGGGUUUCACACAGGUGU
rnacentral:rRNA from 1 species